GUUGGUGAUUUGACGCAGUGGGUACACCCGUUCUCAUUCCGAACACGGAAGUUAAGCGCUGUAGUAGCGAUGGUACUCGCAAGGGGAGAGUAGCUAGUCGCCAACA
rnacentral:rRNA from 2 species